rnacentral:rRNA from 1 species
UACGAAGGGGGCUAGCGUUGCUCGGAAUCACUGGGCGUAAAGGGUGCGUAGGCGGGUCUUUAAGUCAGGGGUGAAAUCCUGGAGCUCAACUCCAGAACUGCCUUUGAUACUGAGGAUCUUGAGUUCGAGAGAGGUGAGUGGAACUGCGAGUGUAGAGGUGAAAUUCGUAGAUAUUCGCAAGAACACCAGUAGCGAAGGCGGCUCACUGGCCCGAUACUGACGCUGAGGCACGAAAGCGUGGGGAGCAAACAGG